ACUAAGAGAGUAAAAAAACUUUAAUUUUAAAUUUUAAAAAGAAAAGAAGGAAGUGUAGAUUUGUUCUUAGGGUAAAAUCUUAAAACAAUGUGUUUUUCUAUUUUAUUUUUUAGAAGCUUUAGAGUGAAACUAGGAUUAGAUACCCUAUUAUUAUUAAUAAUAAAGAAGUUAGGUAGUAAUAGAUGUCUUGAAACUUAAAGAAUUUGGCGGUAUUUUAAUCUAAUUAGAGGAACUUGUGUUUUUAUUCGAAAUUACUCGUCAGAUCUUACUUAAAUUUUGUUUGUAUAUCGUCGUAAAAAUAAAACUUUGAAGUGAAUAUUGAGAAAUAUAAAGUGGAAAAUUACAGAUCAAGGUUCAGCAUAUUUAAGGAUAACAUGAGUUACAAUAUUUUAUAAAUAUAUGGAUGUUUACUUGAA
rnacentral:rRNA from 1 species